rnacentral:rRNA from 1 species
GACGAACGCUGGCGGCGUGCCUAAUACAUGCAAGUAGAACGCUGAAGGAGGAGCUUGCUCUUCUGGAUGAGUUGCGAACGGGUGAGUAACGCGUAGGUAACCUGCCUGGUAGCGGGGGAUAACUAUUGGAAACGAUAGCUAAUACCGCAUAACAGUAGAUGUUGCAUGACAUUUACUUAAAAGGUGCAAUUGCAUCACUACCAGAUGGACCUGCGUUGUAUUAGCUAGUUGGUGGGGUAACGGCUCACCAAGGCGACGAUACAUAGCCGACCUGAGAGGGUGAUCGGCCACACUGGGACUGAGACACGGCCCAGACUCCUACGGGAGGCAGCAGUAGGGAAUCUUCGGCAAUGGACGGAAGUCUGACCGAGCAACGCCGCGUGAGUGAAGAAGGUUUUCGGAUCGUAAAGCUCUGUUGUAAGAGAAGAACGAGUGUGAGAGUGGAAAGUUCACACUGCGACGGUAUCUUACCAGAAAGGGACGGCUAACUACGUG